rnacentral:snoRNA from 1 species
GUACAAGUGAUGCAAACACAACAGUAUGAGAAAAACAAUGAUACUGUAAACGCUUUCUGAUGUA